GUUAAUGUAGCUUAAAAUAAAAGCAAGGCACUGAAAAUGCCUAGAUGAGUGCUUUCACUCCAUAAACA
rnacentral:tRNA from 3 species